UACGUAGGGGGCAAGCGUUGUCCGGAUUUAUUGGGCGUAAAGAGCGUGUAGGCGGCCAGAUAGGUCAGCUGUGAAAACUCGAGGCUCAACCUCGAGACGCCGGUUGAAGCCAUUUGGCUAGAGUCCGGAAGAGGAGAGUGGAAUUCCUGGUGUAGCGGUGAAAUGCGCAGAUAUCAGGAAGAACACCCGUGGCUAAGGCGGCUCUCUAGUACGGUACUGACGCUGAGACGCGAAAGCGUGGGGAGCGAACAGG
rnacentral:rRNA from 1 species